CCUACGGGAGGCAGCAGUGAGGAAUAUUGGUCAAUGGACGAGAGUCUGAACCAGCCAAGUAGCGUGAAGGAUGACUGCCCUAUGGGUUGUAAACUUCUUUUAUAUGGGAAUAAAAUGGUCCACGUGUGGGCUUUUGUAUGUACCAUAUGAAUAAGGAUCGGCUAACUCCGUGCCAGCAGCCGCGGUAAUACGGAGGAUCCGAGCGUUAUCCGGAUUUAUUGGGUUUAAAGGGAGCGUAGGUGGAUUGUUAAGUCAGUUGUGAAAGUUUGCGGCUCAACCGUAAAAUUGCAGUUGAAACUGGCAGUCUUGAGUACAGUAGAGGUGGGCGGAAUUCGUGGUGUAGCGGUGAAAUGCUUAGAUAUCACGAAGAACUCCGAUUGCGAAGGCAGCUCACUGGACUGCAACUGACACUGAGGCUCGAAAGUGUGGGUAUCAAACAGGAUUAGAUACCCGAGUAGUC
rnacentral:rRNA from 1 species